UACGGGGGGAGCAAACGUUGUUCGGAAUCACUGGGCGUAAAGGGCGUGUAGGCGGCUGAAUAAGUGGGAUGUUAAAUCCCCCGGCUCAACCGGGGACCUGCAUCUCAUACUGUUCAGCUCGAGCACAUCAGAGGAGACUGGAAUUCCCGGUGUAGCGGUGAAAUGCGUAGAUAUCUGGAGGAACACCGGUGGCGAAGGCGGCAUCCUGGACCGGUAUUGACGCUGAUGCGCGAAAGCCAGGGGAGCAAACGGG
rnacentral:rRNA from 1 species